AGGGCAAAUGUGUUGUCAUGAGUAUACCCGAAACCGAGUGAUCUACCCAUGUCCAGGUUGAAGAUACGGUAACACGUAUUGGAGGACCGCACCUACUGAAGUUAAAAAUUCAGAGGAUGAGGUGUGGGUAGGGGUGAAAGGCCAAUCAAACUCGGCGAUAUCUGGUUCUCUCCGAAAUCUGUUUAGGCAGGGCCUUAUAUCAAUUUUACUGGAGGUAAAGCACUGAUUGGACUAGGGGUCUUAAAGGACUACCAAAUCUAUUCAAACUAAGAAUUCCAGUAAUUAAUAUAUAGGAGUCAGUCUGUGGGGGAUAAGCUCCAUGGGCGAAAGGGAAAGACCCCAGACUACCAGCUAAGGUCCCUAAAUAUGUACUUUACUUAGUGAUAAAGGAUGUUAAGUUGCUAAAACAGCCAGGAUGUUGGCUUAGAAGCAGCCACUCAUUUAAAGAGUGCGUAAUAGCUCACUGGUCAAGUGAUUUUGCACCUAAGAUGAUCGGGACUAAGUACAUUACCGAAGCUGUAGAUUUAUUGAUUUAUCAGUAGAUGGUAGGAGAGCAUUCUGUAAGGCUGUGAAGUUCAGAUGAAAAUCGGGAUGGAGCUAUCAGAAGAGAUUAUGCCGGCAUAAGUAGUGAAAAUCCCGGUGAGAAACCGGGACACCGUAAGUCUAAGGUUUCCUGAGUAACGUUAAUCUGCUCAGGGUUAGUCGGACCCUAAGGUCAGGCCGAAAGGCGUAGCCGAUGGGAAAGCAGUUAAUAUUCUGCUACUCGAUAAAUAAAGCGAUGGGAUGACGCAGUAAUGCAAGGAAGUCUGGUGUUGGAAAUCCAGAUUUAAGCAUUUAGAUAGGAUUGGCAGGUAAAUCCACCAGUCUAUUAUCAAGAUGUGAAUACAAGCCACAUUAAGUGGCAAAAGUUCCUCUAUAAAGCUGCCAAGAAAUAAUCUCUAAGUGUUAAUUAUUUAUCGAACCGUACCGCAAACCAACUCAGGUAGACGAGGAGAAUAUCCUCAGGUGUUCGAGAUAACUCUGGUUAAGGAACUCGGCAAAAUAGCCCCGUAACUUCGGAAGAAGGGGUGCCAUCGAUGGUGAAGGGUUUUACACUCCUAGCUGUCUUUGGUCGCAGUGAAAUGGCCCAAGCGACUGUUUACCAAAAACACAUGUCUAUGCAAAGUAGUAAUACUAGGUAUAUGGACUGACACCUUCCCGGUGCCGGAAGGUUAAAUGGACGACUUAUUCCCGAUUUAUAUCUGGAUGAAGGUUUGAAAUGAAGCCCCGGUAAACGGAGGCCGUAACUAUAACGGUCCUAAGGUAGCGAAAUUCCUUGUCGGGUAAGUUCCGACCUGCACGAAUGGUGUAACGACUUGGGCGCUGUCUCAACCAGG
rnacentral:rRNA from 1 species